CCUCCACAAAGGACUCAAGGCACUGGCCUUUCAACAGCUCAAAGGCCCUGGUAAGAAGGGCCUUCUCCUCUGGAUUUGCAGAAUGCUUUGCAUCUCAUUUGAAUGUUAUUAAUUUGGUGUCAGGCUAGGUUGGCACAGUGUAGGAAAGAGAACAGCUGGCCUUCUCCCUCCCCUCUGUACCCCAGGGCUUACUCCAAGCAUAGCCUUCCCCAACUUGGGGGGCAUGAGGCCUCUGCUGUCACUACCCCCCUCAGUGUUCCCUGACACUUGGAGAGUCUCUUAGUGAAGCCAGCUCCUAAAAGCCAAGGCUGCCUAGACAGUGUGACCACCUGCAGAGUUAUGCUAAAGAAGAAGAAAAGGUCCCCCAAGGUCACCUUCACCAGACCCAGAGAUGCCAUGGGAGGAUGCUGGGAGCCUUCAUCUCUGCAGCCAAUGAAGGCAGCUUGGCUUGGAAAGUGUCCAAUGAUAAUAACCAAGAGAGGGAGGGAACAAAGACAGGCGAGACUCCCAGAGAAAUAUAGAGGGCUCUAGAAAUAAAAUUCCCUGAACUCAAUAUUUCUAGUGCUUGAACUUCCAUAAAAUACAUCUGUCCAGAGACACUGGGUUUAUGGUGCUGCUCUGGGGCUGGGGACCUGGUGCCAGGUUGAUGGCCAUGUGAUGAGGGAGUGGGUCACCAGGUGGGGUGAGCUCCUGAGAAAGAGGGAGAAGGGCUCAGUUGCAUCCUGUAGGCUGCCCAGCAGGUGGGCAUCAAGGGGCUACAGCGAGAUGAGCAUCAGUUAUUUGAUUGAAGAGGAAAGGAAGUGCAUUCGUGCAGAGGGAACAGCAUGUGCGUGGGUAGGCAGGACUAAGAAAUGGUUAGUGUGGCUGCAUGGCAGGGAAUAAGAAGUGUGCUGUGGGCUGUAGCUAGAGAGGUAGGCAGGUGUAGAGCUCCAAAGCUUAGGGGGUUGUACGUGAUCUCUGGGCUCCCCCCUGCCCACCUAUCUGUCCAUCUAUUCAUUCAUCCUUUACCCAACCACCCACCCAGUUCAUUCAUCACCCACUCACUAAUUCAUUUACUGAAUGAAGGAACAUUUAUUGAGUACCAUGUGUAUGCCAGGACCUGAGCUGGCUGCUGGAGGGGCAGAGCCCUCAAGGAGCGCCCAGAUCAGGGAGGGGAGACAGAGUCUCCACACACUGUAAUGCAGCAUGUCCGUGUCUACAAGGUACUUAAACAAGGCUCUGGAAGCCCUAGAGGCUGGGUCUCCCGUGGUUCAAGCUUCUUGAGGCAAGGGUCCAUCAUUCCCUCCAGGGAGCUCUUCCAGCCACACAACUCCUCCUGGCAUCUACUUCUCUUCCUUCCUGUUACAAAAAUAGCCCCCUUCUUACAGCCCCAAAGUGAUGGGGAGUGUUUCUGAUGUCCCUUUCCACUGCCCCUUCCUUUGGGUCUCAGAGGCAUUUGCGGUCGUGGGAGAACCCAGGAGAACUGACAGAACGUGAUCAGUUCUCCUGCAGACGUCAGAACCGAGCCUCAGUUACACUUCUAGCCACUUCCUUUUCUGGGCAUGAAAAUAGGACAGAAAUCCCCAAUGUCUUUCAGUUCCAUCCAUGCAUUCCCACUCCUACUCCUCCUUGAACUACUUGUCCUCUGCUUGUGACAUCACAAUGGUCUCUAUGGCAACUGAUUGUGAGGUCACUAUUCCUUAAAGCAACAGAAUCUGUAGGUCCAAACAAUGGCCUGGAGGACAGAGGAGGAAUUUGAAAUGGAGGCCUGAGAUGGAGAUCACCUCCUGCAGGGACAGGGGAAGGCCACCCGGGCCUAAGGGGAGAGGAGGGUGUUGCUCCUCAGCCCAUCUGCAGGGAGGCCGUAUUCGUUGUUGUUUGCAAGAGCAAGGCUGGCUAGAGAGAGGGACUGCUCCCCAAGAGGCUGAGGGGCACCCUGAACAGUGUCCAGGAGUUCAGGCCGGAGUUCAAAUCUUCCCAGCCUAAUGCUCACCUUGGGCAAGUUUCAGAGACUUCUUCACUUCUUUAAGCAUAAAAGGAAAAUGAUGUCGCUUGCUUUUCCAAAAAAUAUUCAGUGAGAUAACCUGCUUGGCACCUGGGUGGCCACAGGGGUCUCUGCCAGCGGCCGGGCUGGAGGAGAGAGGAGAGCUUUGUAGGAACAGAGGAAGGAAUGUCACCAGGAAGGCAGCAAUCACUCUCCCGGACAGACACAAGAAUCUCUCCAUUCCUGGUCUCCUUCACUGCCUUCCAAACCCCAGCAGGGAAGUCCUUGUGUGGGUUUAACCUCCAUGUUUCUUGCUGCAGUUUCAGCUGGUGUCUUCAGAGGUGCAGCGGUGGCAGCAGCUCUGAGAAGUAUUAUAAUCCCUCCUUUACAGACAAGGAAGCAGAUUCAGAGAGGAGAAGUAACUUGUCCAGGUUAAUAACGCUGGUUCCAUCUCAGUCCCAUGGAAGGAGAGAACAUCACUGCCCUGCAAACUUCUCUCAGCUCAGGAGUGUCCACCAGCUCUUUGAACAUUGUUGAUUCGAAAUGAAUAUUAAACACCAAACCUCACAGAUGCCAGCCCUGCAGGGCAGGCAAUGAACCAAC